rnacentral:rRNA from 1 species
GAUGAACGCUAGCGGCAGGCCUAAUACAUGCAAGUCGAACGAUAUUUUCCAGCUUGCUGGGAGAGAAAGUGGCGCACGGUGCGUAACGCGUAUGCAACCUACCUUUAUCAGGGGGAUAGCCCGGAGAAAUCCGGAUUAAUACCGCAUAAAAUCACAGAACGGCAUUGUUCAAUGCUCAAACAUUUAUGGGAUAAAGAUUGGCAUGCGUGUCAUUAGCUCGUUGGCGGGGUAACGGCCCACCAAGGCGACGAUGACUAGGGGAUCUGAGAGGAUGGCCCCCCACACUGGUACUGAGACACGGACCAGACUACUACGGGAGGCAGAAGUAAGGAAUAUUGGUCAAUGGAGGCAACUCUGAACCAGCCAUGCCGCGUGCAGGAAGACUGCCCUAUGGGUUGUAAACUGCUUUUAUCCGGGAAUAAACCUCCGAUCGUGAUCGGAGCUGAAUGUACCGGAAGAAUAAGGAUCGGCUAACUCCGUGCCAGCCGCCGCUGUAA